AGAGUUUGAUUAUGGCUCAGGGUGAACGCUAGCGGCGCGCCUAAUGCAUGCAAGUCGAGCGGGAUCCUUUCGAAUUUAUUCUUAAGGUGAGAGUGGCGAACGGGUGAGUAACACGUUGGUGACCUGCCCCAGAGAGGGGGAUAACCAUUGGAAACGAUGGCUAAUACCCCAGAUGUCAUUACGGUUAGAGAGUAAUGACUAAAGUUCCGACGCUCUGGGAGGGGCCUGCGGCCCAUCAGCUAGUUGGUAGGGUAACGGCCUACCAAGGCGACGACGGGUAGGGGACGUGAGAGCGUGACCCCCCACACUGGUACUGAAACACGGACCAGAUACCUACGGGUAGCAGCAGCAAGGAAUAUUGCCCAAUGGACGAAAGUCUGAGGCAGCAACGCCGCGUGGAGGAAGAAGGCCUUCGGGUUGUAAACUCCUUUUCUGGGGGAAGAGAAAGGACGGUACCCCAGGAAUAAGUCUCGGCUAACUACGUGCCAGCAGCCGCGGUAAAACGUAGGAGGCGAGCGUUAUCCGGAUUUACUGGGCGUAAAGCGCGUGUAGGCGGUUUUUUAAGUCGGACGUGAAAGCUCCCGGCUCAACUGGGAGAGGUCGUUCGAAACUAGAAGACUUGAGGGUGGUAGAGGAGAGUGGAAUUCCCGGUGUAGUGGUGAAAUGCGUAGAUAUCGGGAGGAACACCAGUGGCGAAGGCGGCUCUCUGGGCCACUCCUGACGCUAAGACGCGAAAGCUAGGGGAGAAAACGGGAUUAGAAACCCCGGUAUUCCUAGCCGUAAACGAUGUCAACUAGGUGUA
rnacentral:rRNA from 1 species